CCCCUGCCGGAAUCCUGGGAAUGUCGCCGCCCGGGGAAGCAUCUGGCGGGCCUCGGGGCAGAGGGAGGGGUCAAACCUGGAAUUUCUCGGGUGUUUUUGCACAAAAUCCCCCCCAGUGAUUUCAGCCCCGUGAAGUUGCAGCCGACGGAAGUGAGAGGGAAGCUGCCCACUUCUUUUCGGGGCGGCCUUUGUCUCGGCCUCUUCCGAUCCCCGUUCGUAGAGCGACCCAAUGCCUCUCCCCCGGCUCGGAAGAUUCUUUCUUUGUGUCUGCGGGAGGAAGCCCCUCUCGGGCUGAAGCCGGCAGGGCGGCCCCUGCGACCGUUUCCAGCUGGAUUGUCGCCAUCUUGCGGCAGGAUAAGGUGGCCGCACGGGGCCACGGGACAGAUCCGCACGCCCACAACUUGCUUGGGUCCCAGGCAACCGAAAUGUUAGGUGGCGAGUCCAGGAGUGACAGCGUGCUGCAAGCCUCCCCGAGGGGCUCUUGCCCACCCCCAUGCCCCCCACCGGCAUCAUAACCAACCUGAAUGAAGUGCCAACCCCUCACCAUUUCCCAUGAGACAAACCAAUGAUUAAGAAGACAGAGACGCACUCUGUCUUGUUCCUACUGGUUAGUAAUGUUAUUAUACUUGAUGAGUAUUAUUAAAAGACCUCUGUUAUUAAAGACUUCCCAUUAUUAUUA